rnacentral:rRNA from 1 species
GUAGGUGGCAAGCGUUGUCCGGAAUUAUUGGGCGUAAAGCGCGCGCAGGGCGGUUCUUUAAGUCUGAUGUGAAAGCCCACGGCUCAACCGUGGAGGGUCAUUGGAAACUGGAGAACUUGAGUACAGAAGAGGAAAGCGGAAUUCCACGUGUAGCGGUGAAAUGCGUAGAGAUGUGGAGGAACACCAGUGGCGAAGGCGGCUUUCUGGUCUGUAACUGACGCUGAGGCGCGAAAGCGUGGGGGGCAAACAGGAUUAGGUACCCUGGUAGUCCACGCCGUAAACGAUGAGUGCUAAGUGUUAGGGGGUUUCCGCCCCUUAGUGCUGCAGCUAACGCAUUAAGCACUCCGCCUGGGGAGUACGGCCGCAAGGCUG